CGAGUCAUUGUAGCAAUACAAGGCAGACGGCUCAGUAACGCGUAGUCAAUCUACCCUAUGGACGGGAAUAACCUCGGGAAACUGAGAAUAAUGCCCGAUAGAACAUUAUGCCUGGAAUGGUUUAUGUUUCAAAUGAUUUAUCGCCAUAGGAUGGGACUGCGGCCUAUCAGUUUGUUGGUGAGGUAAUGGCCCACCAAGACUAUUACAGGUACGGGCUCUGAGAGGAGUAGCCCGGAGAUGGGUACUGAGACACGGACCCAGGCCCUAUGGGGCGCAGCAGGCGAGAAAACUUUGCAAUGUGCGAAGGCACGACAAGGUUAAUCCGAGUGGUUUCUGCUAAAGAAACCUUUUGUCAGUCCUAGAAACACUAACGAAUAAGGGGUGGGCAAGUUCUGGUGUCAGCCGCCGCGGUAAAACCAGCACCUCAAGUGGUCAGGAUGAUUAUUGGGCCUAAAGCAUCCGUAGCUCGUUUCGUAAGUUUUCGGUUAAAUCCAUGCGCUUAACGUAUGGGCUGCCGGGAAUACUGCAUAACUAGGAAGUGGGAGAGGUAGACGGUACUCGGUAGGAAGGGGUAAAAUCCUUUGAUCUAUUGAUGACCACCUGUGGCGAAGGCGGUCUACCAGAACACGUUCGACGGUGAGGGAUGAAAGCUGGGGGAGCAAACCGGGUUAGAUACCCGGGUAGUCCCAGCUGUAAACUAUGCAAACUCAGUGAUGCAUUGGCUUGUGGCCAAUGCAGUGCUGCA
rnacentral:rRNA from 1 species